ACGGUUAUCCCUGCAACGGAGGUGGUCGCGGGUUCGAAUCCCGCCGGGCCGCGAGGCCCGUAGCUCAGUCGGUAGAGCGCCUAACGCCGUUCCUCACACCACGACCGCGCG
rnacentral:Y_RNA from 1 species